rnacentral:siRNA from 1 species
CCACUACUUUUAACGUUAU